AUCUUUGCGCAGAGACGAUAUCGUAACAAAUGGGGUUCUACCGCGGUGCGAUUAUUACUACUUGAAAUUUUAAUCAUCUCUGAUGUCAGGAAUAAGGCGUUUAUACGAAUUAGUUAAAUUCCUACAGUAA
rnacentral:snRNA from 1 species